GGGAAAAUGUACUCUGUGCUAGAGCUGUUCUGUCGGCUGUUAGUCAUUCCAUGGAUUGGGAGGCUCGAUCAGGUUUUCUAUUCUAAGAAACAUGAAAGAGUUUGCUUUCUGCAGUCUCAUAUUUCUGUGCAUUCUCUUCUGCGUGAGUUCCCAUUACCUUGCAGCGGAGGCAGAGCCUAGCAGCAAAUGCACAGGAGAGAGAUCAUGUCCCAACUCUGGUAGAGCCCUGUGGGCAUGCAGCUGGCAGAGAUCCACUAUUUCAAUCUUUUUCUCUCUCUUCCCCUCCUUUGUAGGAAAAAUACCCAUUGGAAUCCAUGUCUGGCAGAGAGUUGGUGUUACCUCUGGACUACCAAGAUGUAGAGCAAGGGAGAUGAAUUGUUAAAAUACAACUUGAAGGCAGAAAGCACCUUUGACAAGCUCUAAAAUAGUUGAACAUUGUGGCUGGGGCUGAGAGGCCUUCAGCAAGACAGCACUGGGGACUGACAGAACUCAGUAAAUGAUGCUCUGUCAGCUUGUUUUGACCCUUCUUUCCAGGUAAUAAGGAAAAGUAAAUAGAAAGUCUGACACAAAAGAGAAAUGAGAGAAAAAAAAAACGCAGAGGAUUUCAGCACAAGGAAAAUAUAUGAAUUUCAAAAUGAAGUUCCAGAUGCAUGUUCGUUGAUUGAGUGCCGGCAGGAUACAGUGGGAUUCUGUAGUCCAAUGAAACAAUUUCUGUGGCUUCUCUUUCCACUUCAUUGACACUGCUACCUUCAAAGUUUCAUCAGGCACCAGAAAGAUCCGUGAUGGGCAGAAGCAUGCAGAGAAACUCCAGAGGCUGCUAGAAAAUCAUUCAGAUCUCUGUGCUGUGCCUGAAUUCAUCCUGGGUUUGACUUUUCUCUCUGAAUCCUCUGUGCAUGCUCAUAGUUUCCUCUGAUGCAUUCACCUUCAAAUGACUGUCUUGGUGCAAGCAGAAGAACCGUAUACAGCCUGUCAAGAAGUCUAAUGGAGCAGAACAUGAGCCUUGUCUGGGGGAUGUUUAGCUCUUAACAGAUUGUGCUGAGCCCAUGUGUGACUAUACAGAUAGUGUUGUGCUUUUGUCUUACCUGUGUGAAAUUAACGCUGAGAUUAGGUAGCACUACAAAGCAUCAAAAACCAGGCUGAGAUUUUUGCAAGGAGACUCAUGUGCCUAACUGAUAUUGAAUUUUAGUUGGCUAUAGGCUUGUAAGUUCCUUAACAGUCUCUUUUCUAAAGGAUUAUCCUUUGUCUUCUUCCUGUUUUACUCCAGGCAGAAUGGAUACCGGUUUCUUGAAGAGUUGUUUUUAAAUUUAAGACCUAAGAUACGAAUAAGCCUGUUUUGGAAGGGUUUGAAAAUGUAUAGAGAAAUGUUGUUUUGAUAGAUUCCUUAUAUACUAUGAGAGAGAAGCUGUGAUGUUUUGUGCUAUUUUAGUGACUUUUCCUUGAAAAUUGCCUACUUAUAUAUUUUUAUUUUAAAUAUUAUCUAGGAUU